rnacentral:tRNA from 1 species
GAUUCUAUGAUUAUAAGUUCAUUUCAUACCGGACCAGACCGGAAUAGGGUUAUAUACAUUCUCAUUGUGAGAAGGGGUUAU